CUCUAAGGAGCAAAAAAGGAUUUGCUUCAAUAAAGAAAGCACUCUGUUAUAUGACUUUCCCUUUUGUAGUUUCAUAUCUUAUGUUUCAGUGGGUAAACUUUGCAAGUCAGAUUUAUAUUCCAGUGUGAAGUUAUGUUUUGUUGCAGUAAAAUCAGAGGAAGCAAUGACAGACUGAUCUAUAGAAGAACAGGUGAGAACGGAACAGACCUUAUUAAUCUUUUUCUUUACUUGCUGGCACUCAUGUGCCUUUAAUAUACAGACAGAACUUUAUCUGUGGCAUGUAAAGUUAACUUUAAAUAGGAUUUAGAUUUCUAAGCACCAGAUGCACAUUUCUGAGUGAAUAACCUGCACUUUUUUGACAAUUUAGUGACUUCAGUAGCACCCCCACCCCAUCCUCAGUGUUCUCUCCCCAGCUGCACAACAUAUAAUGUGGAUCCCCUUCUGAGACAUCUCUUCCCACAUUUUACAUCUAAGACUGAUCUGAACUCCCUUUGUGGAACAGAAGCCUCCAGAACUGAACGUUUAGGCAGUGCAGUCCACCAUCUAAGGCAUUUUAGCAGUUCUGCAGUAUGUGAGAAAGCUUCAUCUUUCUGCUGAAGUGACUUCACUUCAGUUUGAGUAUUAAAGAUUAACUGGACUAAAGAUAGGCUAGUUUAAGCAUGACAUUGAAUUCUAAUGACUACAACAGGAAUAAGAGAAUCCCGAGUUCAAGUCCCUACUGGUCUGUGUAUUUCAGCUGAAACCGUUCUGUGUAAAAUGCAAUUUGUGGAGCACAGCCCGGAAUGCCUCUUCGCUCGUUCUCUUCAGCUGCCCAUCCAGGAGAUUUGCCAAAGGAGUUGUUCCAGAAUCAGCAGCACCAAAAUGAACAUUUCAUCCACAUUCACAUUCUCCUAGUUACAAGCCUUCAUGCUCAAAAGCUAUAACCUUCAUGCCACAACUGAAAAGAAAUUGUAUUUUCAAACUGAUGUUCUGUAGCCCGGUAGACCGGUAGUACGGAUUUGCCAUUGCUAGUACCCGCGCCCAGGCUUUGUACUGAGGCGCCAGGACUGAGGCUUGUCAGGCUUUGUUUGAGCUUCACUUUCAUUGCCUGGAGCUUUGUUUUUACUUAGUUUAGCUGCAGCAGCAAUUUUUCUAAUUACCAGGUGGCUAUGCCUAAUUUCUCUUGGUAAUUGUUAUAUGGUGCAUCCACUGGUUUAAUAUGAUAAUAGUAACAAGUAGUUUAGUUAUUCUGUGCAGAAUGAGAUAUUUGUAACUUUAGCAUAACGAUGUCGCGUAGAGCAAUGUAGGCCUAAUAUGUAUGGAUAGCAGACGCCUUAAAAAGUAGGGAAGUGCACAGGUGAACGGGCAUGGGAUGACAACCAACAGGGCACAGGCUGGCACUGGAGAUCACAGGGCUGUAAGUAACUCAAAAAAGGUCAGAUAGAGGAAUGCAGAUCUGGAGCUGAUUUUAAGAGUAACUGAGAACACCAAACAACUAGCUAGUGUAUGUUAGACCCACCACAUAUAGUAAAUUGGGAUGCUGUGUGGAGCUGCAGACCAAUAGAGAAAGAGCAAGGUGUAAAAGCAUAUUAGAAAACAUAAAAAUAGCAUCAAGUGAAUAUGAAGAUAAGGAAGGAGAGGAGGAGAAAGAAACCUGCAAACAUUGUACUUCUCUGAGCAAAAGACUAAACAUUGGGACCUCAAGGGGAAGUGGAAGGGUGAGCGUUAACACCAGAAAAAUGAAUAGGAACUUGGAAGUGUGUGUAUGACAAUUUUAAAUGUAUUAUUAUUAUUACUGCUGUUAUUAUAGACAUCUUUUCUGUAGAGCAGUAUUGUUUAUUUUUUCUUUCCUUUUCUGUAAUAAUUAGUUAUGGACUAAUAAUAAUUCUUUGUUUAGAUUGUUAAGAUUGCAAUUAUACUAACGAUAAAUUCUUGGCUUUACACAUAAUGUGUGUUUUCUUUUAGCCCAUAAGAGGAUUUAGAGCAUAACAGUAUGUGUGGUACUCUGCAUUUUUUGCCUUCUAGUAAAAACUAUUACAAUAAUGUAAAAUAAAAGUGCGG
rnacentral:lncRNA from 1 species